UUUUUAAAUUAAAGAAAUAGGGAGAAGAUGAAGAGACUAAUCCUAUGCAAAAAAAUUAAAAGUUAAGAGUUGAAAAGAUCUGACCAAAUGGAUAGUGAUCCAAUAGACAAGAAUUUCAAUAGAAACCCAGAAUUCCCUUGGACUUUUUAGAAUCAAGCAACAAACAAAUGCACAAUUAUAUUAUCUUGAAGAGCAAAAGCAUCAAAU
rnacentral:lncRNA from 1 species